rfam:Cavia porcellus supercont2_5 genomic scaffold, whole genome shotgun sequence.
GGGGAUUUAGCUCAGCAGUAUAAGCACCUGCCUUGCAAGCAGGAGGCCAUGAGUUUGAUCCCCA